rnacentral:lncRNA from 1 species
GCAACGGAAGUUGUUACAAAGAAAGUGACUGCGGGGUGGCUGGAGCUCAGCCGCCCCCCCAUUGAGAAGAUUCGUCGUCCUGAGAAGUCGCGUGCUGGAGGCGUAGAGGGACAGCACGGCCUGGAUGGCCACGUACAUGGCGGGCACGUUGAAGGUCUCAAACAUGAUCUGGGUCAUCUUCUCGCGGUUGGCCUUGGGAUUGAGGGGGGCCUCGGUGAGCAGGGUGGGGUGCUCCUCGGGAGCCACGCGAAGCUCGUUGUAGAAGGUUUGGUGAUGAUGCCGUGCUCGAUAGGGUACUUCAGGGUCAGGAUACCUCUCUUGCUCUGAGCCUCGUCGCCCACGUAGGAAUCUUU